AAAACUUUCAACAACGGAUCUCUUGGCAAAAGUAUCGAUGAAGAACGCAGCGAAAUGCGAAAAGUAAUGUGAAUUGCAGAAUUCCGUGAAUCAUCGAAUCUUUGAACGCACAUUGCGCCCUUUGGUAUUCCGAAGGGCAUGCCUGUUCGAGCGUCAUUG
rnacentral:rRNA from 1 species